rnacentral:misc_RNA from 1 species
UAUGGAACCACCGAUUGUGUGCUCCGUGCAUUACGUCGAAGGCAAAUACGCCCUCUAAUCAACUCCGNAACUUGCUCGGGUUGGNGGGGCUUGACAAGACAAUCAA